CCGGCGCACGGGUGAGUAACACGUAUCCAACCUGCCGUCUACUCUUGGACAGCCUUCUGAAAGGAAGAUUAAUACAAGAUGGCAUCAUGAGUCCGCAUGUUCACAUGAUUAAAGGUAUUCCGGUAGGCGAUGGGGGAGUGCGUUCCAUUAGAUAGUAGGCGGGGGUAACGGCCCACCUAGUCUUCGAUGGAUAGGGGUUCUGAGAGGAAGGUCCCCCACAUUGGAACUGAGACACGGUCCAAACUCCUACGGGAGGCAGCAUG
rnacentral:rRNA from 1 species